rnacentral:pre_miRNA from 1 species
AAUAAACCAAUUUUUCACUUCUUACCUAUAAUUUUUUACUCUUCGUCUUAUUCAAAAAUUUGUUGCGAUUGAUAUUUUUGUUUUUAUUAGAUGAUAAAUCAUGAAUAAUACUUUACGUGUGACUAAUUUUUUUUUAAAUUUUUUGAAAUUUUUUAAAUAAGACGAAUGAUCAAACGUCGGACAUGGAAACCGGAG